rnacentral:rRNA from 1 species
CGAAAGCCUGACGGAGCAACGCCGCGUGAGGGAGGAAGGCUCUUGGGUUGUAAACCUCUUUUGUUAGGGAAGAAGAAAGUGACGGUACCUAACGAAUCAGCAUCGGCUAACUCCGUGCCAGCAGCCGCGGUAAUACGGAGGAUGCAAGCGUUAUCCGGAAUUAUUGGGCGUAAAGCGUCCGCAGGUGGAAUUUCAAGUCGGCGGUCAAAGACCGAAGCUUAACUUCGGGAAGGCAGUGGAAACUGAAAAACUAGAGACCAGUAGGGGUAGCGGGAAUUCCCAGUGUAGCGGUGAAAUGCGUAGAGAUUGGGAAGAACAUCGGUGGCGAAAGCGCGCUACUGGGCUGGGACUGACACUGAGGGACGAAAGCUAGGGGAGCGAAAGGGAUUAGAUACCCCUGUAGUCCUAGCCGUAAACGAUGGAGACUAGGCGUAGCUUGUAUCGACCCAAGCUGUGCCGAAGCUAACGCGUUAAGUCUCCCGCCUGGGGAGUACGCACGCAAGUGUGAAACUCAAAGGAAUUGACGGGGGCCCGCACAAGCGGUGGAGUAUGUGGUUUAAUUCGAUGCAACGCGAAGAACCUUACCAGGGCUUGACAUCCGUAGAACCCCGAUGAAAGUUGGGGGUGCCUUAGGGAGCUACAAGACAGGUGGUGCAUGGCUGUCGUCAGCUCGUGUCGUGAGAUGUUGGGUUAAGUCCCGCAACGAGCGCAACCCUCGUCCUUAGUUGCCAGCAUUGAGUUGGGCACUCUAGGGAGACUGCCGGUGACAAACCGGAGGAAGGUGGGGAUGACGUCAAGUCAGCAUGCCCCUUACGCCCUGGGCGACACACGUACUACAAUGGUCGGGACAAAGGGCAGCGAACCCGCGAGGGAAAGCGAAUCUCAGCAAACCCGGCCUCAGUUCAGAUUGCUCUGUGCAACUCGAGAGCAUGAAGGAGGAAUCGCUAGUAAUCGCCGGUCAGCAUACGGCGGUGAAUUCGUUCCCGGGCCUUGUACACACCGCCCGUCACACCAUGGAAGCUGGCCACGCCCGAAGUCGUUACCCUAACCCUUUAUGGGAGGGGGAUGCCGAAGGCAGGGCUAGUGACUGGGGUGAAGUCGUAACAAGGUAGCCGUACCGGAAGGUGUGGCUGGAUCACCUCCUU